CCUUUUCGAACGAGUUGUCUUAUGGCCUCUGAGAUUUGCGCGCGAACCUGGGAGGCCAUAAUUGGCCGCUUAAUAGCAUAAAAAGACAAAGAUAAUGCCAAACGACACAACUAAAAAUUCAAACAAAGAACUGAUCUUAGCUAUACUGUUUGGGGAAAAGAAAUAAAAAAUUAGACAGCCGCAACACACGCCACUAAAGCCACCACCGCCGGCAUAACGCGGAAUCAACGGUUGGCAACAUUCAUUCGCGCGUCAUUGCUUCGUCCGCUUCGUCUCCACAACGGCCGCAACGAGAGCCGCCAUCUUCUCGCGCCUAACGUUUCGUAUGGUUUUGUUCUCUGCAAUCCGCGCACACAGCUCAUCGGUGGCUGCACGUCUGCUCGGCGUCGCAAUGCAACCUGCGUCAUUUUCUGGUGCUCGCGCAAUCGGUGUGAAACAUGUCGCAUGUGAAAUGUUUGAUAGAAGUGCCUCACGUCCAAGUCAAGCUGCCGUACGGGUGUAUGGCUGUGCGCCCCGUUCUCGGAAGCGUCGACGGGUUUCCGGCAUGCGGAUUUCAGCGUUUGGACUCGACUUUUGGUGAGGAUGUCGAUCGACCUUGGGCCUGGUGACAGCACACCCGACAUCGCCAAAGUGCAGCCUAUCAGUAGAGUGCCCCCGAAUGGACCAUCAACAUCGGAAAAUGAAGCAGAGCCAGGGGGAAAAGGUUCCGGUAACACCAUGCAUUCAGUAUGGUGGCCCAGAUGUGCAUGCAAGCAACCUCCUUCAUGUGGACCAAGAACUACUCUGCAGUGUCUCGCAGACUUCCAUGCGAAGCUCUCAACAUUCUCGUCUCAGUGGAAUGGCUGCUCAUCUAUCUGCGUGUCCAUCACCAAGACGGCCAGUUGUAAAGCUCCUGUACCCGUUUAAGAAAGCUUAAUGAUUGUUUUAUUUAGUUUUCACGGUUGGCCGUAGAAUCUUAACAUUGUUGAUGUUUCUAACAUUUUUACCUGGCACAAAGUGGUGCAAUAACUUUAAACCAGUGUAAUGUAUUUAAAUCAUGCUCACUCUAAUGCCUAUCUGGUUUUGUUUGUGUUUAAGAAAUUUGAAUGUCUGAUGAGGUAACGGCAUUUGAAUUUGUCAUCGUGGCUCGUUUCAAUGAGCUGCUAGGAAAUAAAAUGAGCUGCUAGGAAACUUAUCACACGCCAGUUGUAGAAUUUUUAUUUUCAUGACUAGAGUAUACACGUUUCAAAAGAUGGAAAGUGUGGAAAAAGCCUCAAGAACAUAAUCAUCCUAGGAUUGUCAUGUCCUUACAACUCUGCAAUGACUAAUGCCUCAUACAUCUUGGGAGCACAUUGGUCGCAAUGCCUACAGGUAUACUUGAUAAGAGAAUAGCUUGCACUCAGAUUUGCGAUUUGCCACGCAGUUGAUGGCUGAUGGCUUUUGUUUGUCGUCUUCAUCUUACUACUAUGUAUUCAAUAUUCAUUUAGAUGUGCUGCGGUUUUUUGC